UACGGAGGGGGCUAGCGUUGUUCGGAAUUACUGGGCGUAAAGCGCACGUAGGCGGCUUUGUAAGUUAGAGGUGAAAGCCCAGGGCUUAACCCUGGAAUUGCCUUUAAGACUGCAUCGCUAGAAUCGUGGAGAGGUGAGUGGAAUUCCGAGUGUAGAGGUGAAAUUCGUAGAUAUUCGGAAGAACACCAGUGGCGAAGGCGGCUCUCUGGACCGUAACUGACGCUGAGACGCGAAAGCGUGGGGAGCAAACAGG
rnacentral:rRNA from 1 species